rnacentral:rRNA from 1 species
AGUGAACGCUGGCGGUAGGCCUAACACAUGCAAGUCGAACGGCAGCACAGUAAGAGCUUGCUCUUACGGGUGGCGAGUGGCGGACGGGUGAGGAAUACAUCGGAAUCUACUUUUUCGUGGGGGAUAACGUAGGGAAACUUACGCUAAUACCGCAUACGACCUACGGGUGAAAGCAGGGGAUCUUCGGACCUUGCGCGAUUGAAUGAGCCGAUGUCGGAUUAGCUAGUUGGCGGGGUAAAGGCCCACCAAGGCGACGAUCCGUAGCUGGUCUGUGAGGAUGAUCAGCCACACUGGAACUGAGACACGGUCCAGACUCCUACGGGAGGCAGCAGUGGGGAAUAUUGGACAAUGGGCGCAAGCCUGAUCCAGCCAUACCGCGUGGGUGAAGAAGGCCUUCGGGUUGUAAAGCCCUUUUGUUGGGAAAGAAAAGCAGCAGGUUAAUACCACGCUGUUCUGACGGUACCCAAAGAAUAAGCACCGGCUAACUUCGUG